rnacentral:siRNA from 1 species
UCAAAUUUUGUGUGCAAAUCUAU